rnacentral:rRNA from 1 species
CCAUUAAUAUAAGGUCGAUAAGCGCUUAGCGUAAUUAUUGGCUGAAGUUCUGGUCAAUGGCGGUCUUAUCUAUGAGGAUCCUAAGGUAGCAAAAUUAAUUGUCCAUUAAAUGUGGUCCUGACUGAAUAAAGUAACGAUGGUCUCGCUGUCUCUACAAGUAUCUCAGUGAAAUUGAAUUAGCCGUGCAGAUGCGGUUUAACUUCGGGUAGACGGGAAGACCCUAUGCAACUUUACUGUAGCUAGUUAUAAUAUUCUCGUAAUCUGGGUGUAGCGUAUAAGGUAGUCGACAUGACUAAGGUGAAACACCUUAACCGGAAUUCCGUUAAUAUUUAUUCUCUGUGGGC